rnacentral:misc_RNA from 1 species
CAACCCUCAAGCUCUGCUUGGUCUUGGGCCACGCCGGUAACGGCGGGCCUCAAAAUUAGUGGCGGCGCCGUCCGCGUCCUCAGCGUAGUAAUUCUUCUCGCUGUUGGGCCCGGGCGGCCGCUGGCCAGCAACCCCAAAUUUUCUAU